GGCGAUGUUUCAUUUCAAAUUUUCCUGCCCUAUCAACUUUCGACGGUAGGGUAGUGGCCUACCGUGGUGGUAACGGGUGACGGAGGAUUAGGGUUCGAUUCCGGAGAGGGAGCCUGAGAAACGGCUACCACAUCCAAGGAAGGCAGCAGGCGCGCAAAUUACCCAAAUCCCAACUCGGGGAGGUAGUGACAAGAAAUAACGAUGCUCCGGCCUCACGGUCGGGUAAUCGGAAUGAGAACAAUUUAAAUCCCUUAUCGAGGAUCAAUUGGAGGGCAAGUCUGGUGCCAGCAGCCGCGGUAAUUCCAGCUCCAAUAGCGUAUAUUUAAGUUGCUGCGGUUAAAAAGCUCGUAGUCGGAUUUCGGGUGGCGCCUACCGGUCCGCCUUUGGUGAGUACUGGUAGGUGCCACCUUUCUGCCGAGGACGGGGUACUGGGCUUAACUGUCUGGGCCCCGGAGUCGGCGAUGUCACUUUGAGUAAAUUAGGGUGUUCAAAGCAGGCUUAUGCUCUGUAUACACUAGCAUGGGAUGACACGAUAGGACUUCGGUUUAUCUUGUCGGUCUGUAGAUCGGAGUAAUGAUUAAGAGGGACAGUCGGGGGCAUUCGUAUUUCGUAGUCAGAGGUGAAAUUCUUGGAUUUACGGAAGACGAACUUCUGCGAAAGCAUUUGCCAAGGAUGUUUUCAUUGAUCAAGAACGAAAGUCGGGGGCUCGAAGACGAUUAGAUACCGUCGUAGUCUCGACCAUAAACGAUGCCAC
rnacentral:rRNA from 1 species